UGCCUUCUGGCUUAGAUCAAGUGUAGUAUCUGUUCUUUUCAGUUUAAUAUCUGAAA
rnacentral:misc_RNA from 1 species